rnacentral:rRNA from 1 species
AUCGAAAGAUGAAAAGCACUUUGAAAAGAGAGUUAAAAAGCACGUGAAAUUGUUGAAAGGGAAGCGCUUGCAGCCAGACUUGCCUGUAGUUGCUCAUCCGGGCUUUUGCCCGGUGCACUCUUCUGCGGGCAGGCCAGCAUCAGUUUGGGCGGUUGGAUAAAGAUCUCUGUCAUGUACCUCUUUUCGGGGAGGCCUUAUAGGGGAGAUGUCAUGCAACCAGCCUGGACUGAGGUCCGCGCAUCUGCUAGGAUGCUGGCGUAAUGGCUGUAAGCGGCCCGUCUUGUAACACGGACCAAGG